rnacentral:rRNA from 1 species
GAUGAACGCUGGCGGCGUGCCUAAUACAUGCAAGUCGAGCGAACAGACGAGGAGCUUGCUCCUCUGACGUUAGCGGCGGACGGGUGAGUAACACGUGGAUAACCUACCUAUAAGACUGGGAUAACUUCGGGAAACCGGAGCUAAUACCGGAUAAUAUAUUGAACCGCAUGGUUCAAUAGUGAAAGACGGUUUUGCUGUCACUUAUAGAUGGAUCCGCGCCGCAUUAGCUAGUUGGUAAGGUAACGGCUUACCAAGGCGACGAUGCGUAGCCGACCUGAGAGGGUGAUCGGCCACACUGGAACUGAGACACGGUCAAGACUCCUACGGGAGGCAGCAGUAGGGAAUCUUCCGCAAUGGGCGAAAGCCUGACGGAGCAACGCCGCGUGAGUGAUGAAGGUCUUCGGAUCGUAAAACUCUGUUAUUAGGGAAGAACAGAUGUGUAAGUAACUAUGCACGUCUUGACGGUACCUAAUCAGAAAGCAACGGCUAACUACGUG